rnacentral:rRNA from 1 species
GACGAACGCUGGCGGCGUGCCUAAUACAUGCAAGUAGAACGCUGAAGGAGGAGCUUGCUUCUCUGGAUGAGUUGCGAACGGGUGAGUAACGCGUAGGUAACCUGCCUUGUAGCGGGGGAUAACUAUUGGAAACGAUAGCUAAUACCGCAUAAGAGUAGAUGUUGCAUGACAUUUGCUUAAAAGUUGCACUUGCAUCACUACCAGAUGGACCUGCGUUGUAUUAGCUAGUUGGUGGGGUAACGGCUCACCAAGGCGACGAUACAUAGCCGACCUGAGAGGGGGGUCCGCCAAACUUGGACUGAGAAACGGGCCAAACUUCUUCGGGAGGGAGCAGUAGGGAAUCUUCGGCAAUAGACGGAAGUCUGACCGAGGAACGCCGGGUGAGUGAAAGAGGUUCUCGGAUCGGAAAACUCUGUUGUAAGGGAAGAAAGAGCGUGAGAGUAGAAAGUUCACGCUGUGACGGUAUCUUACCAGAAAGGGACGGCUAACUACGUG